rnacentral:rRNA from 1 species
CGUGAGCAAUCUGCCCCUGACUCUGGGAUAAGCGCUGGAAACGGCGUCUAAUACUGGAUACGAGCCGUGAAGGCAUCUUCAACGGUUGGAAAGAUUUUUCGGUCAGGGAUGAGCUCGCGGCCUAUCAGCUUGUUGGUGAGGUAAUGGCUCACCAAGGCGUCGACGGGUAGCCGGCCUGAGAGGGUGACCGGCCACACUGGGACUGAGACACGGCCCAGACUCCUACGGGAGGCAGCAGUGGGGAAUAUUGCACAAUGGGCGCAAGCCUGAUGCAGCAACGCCGCGUGAGGGAUGACGGCCUUCGGGUUGUAAACCUCUUUUAGCAGGGAAGAAGCGAAAGUGACGGUACCUGCAGAAAAAGCGCCGGCUAACUACGUGCCAGCAGCCGCGGUAAUACGUAGGGCGCAAGCGUUAUCCGGAAUUAUUGGGCGUAAAGAGCUCGUAGGCGGUUUGUCGCGUCUGCUGUGAAAUCCCGAGGCUCAACCUCGGGUCUGCAGUGGGUACGGGCAGACUAGAGUGCGGUA